rnacentral:rRNA from 1 species
CGGCGGACGGCUGAGUAACGCGUAGGAACGUGCCCCAAAGUGAGGAAUAACUGCCCGAAAGGGUGGCUAAUGCCGCAUAUGAUCUUCGGAUUAAAGUAUUUAUACGCUUUGGGAGCGGCCUGCGUUAGAUUAGGUAGUUGGUGAGGUAAUGGCUCACCAAGCCUACGAUCUAUAGCUGGUCUGAGAGGAUGAUCAGCCAGACUGGAACUGAGACACGGUCCAG